UACGUAGGGGGCAAGCGUUGUCCGGAAUCAUUGGGCGUAAAGAGCGUGUAGGCGGCUCGGUAAGUCUGCUGUGAAAGUCCAGGGCUCAACCCUGGGAUGCCGGUGGAUACUGUCGAGCUCGAGUCCGGAAGAGGCGAGUGGAAUUCCCGGUGUAGCGGUGAAAUGCGCAGAUAUCGGGAGGAACACCAAUGGCGAAGGCAGCUCGCUGGGACGUUACUGACGCUGAGACGCGAAAGCGUGGGGAGCAAACAGG
rnacentral:rRNA from 1 species